rfam:Nicotiana sylvestris Nsyl_contig99560, whole genome shotgun sequence.
GAUAACAGGCUGAUGACUCCCAAGAACUCUUAUCGACAGAGUCGUUUGGCACCUCGAUGUCGACUCAUCACAUCCUGGGGUUGAAGAAGGUCCCAAAGGUUCGGUUGUUCGCCGAUUCAAGUGGUACGUGAGUUGGGUUUAGAAUGUCGUGAGACAGUUC